rnacentral:rRNA from 1 species
UACAGAGGUCUCAAGCGUUGUUCGGAUUCAUUGGGCGUAAAGGGCGCGUAGGCUGCGGGGCAAGUCGGGUGUGAAAUCUCAGAGCUCAACUCUGAAACUGCACUCGAUACUGCUUUGCUUGAGGACUGGAGAGGAGAUUGGAAUUCACGGUGUAGCGGUGAAAUGCGUAGAGAUCGGGAGGAAUACCAGUGGCGAAGGCGGCCUUCUGGACUGACACUGACGCUGAGGCGCGAAAGCCAGGUGAGCAAACGGG